rnacentral:rRNA from 1 species
CAUAAUCAUAGUCUUGUAAUUUAAGACUGGGAUGAAAGGAUAAACUGGAAAGAUUCUUUCUUAUUGUUAAUUUUAAAUUUUACUUUUUAGUAAGAAGGCCUAAAAUGUCUCUUUUAGACAAGAAGACCCUAUAAAACUUUACAUAAAAUAAUUUAGUAAAUUAAUAAUAUGUUUUACUGGGGCGGUGAAAAGAAAAACACUUUUAAGACUAUUGAUAAUAUUAUUAUUUUGAUACCCAAAAGUUUUGAAGUUUAAAUAAGUUACUUUAGGGAUAACAGCGUUAUAUGUUUUGAAAGCUCUAAAUUGACAAACAUGUUUGCGACCUCGAUGUUGGAUUAAAUUUCCUUUAUUGCGCAAGAGGAUAGGAGGGGGCUGUCGACCCAAAAUAUCCA